rnacentral:tRNA from 1 species
GAGGGUAUAGCUCAGUGGUAGAGCACGUGCUUAGCAUGCACAAGGUCCUGGGUUCAAUUCCCCAGUACCUCCA